GGACAGGUGGCCGAGUGGUUUAAGGCAGCGGUCUUGAAAACCGCCGUGCGGGUAACCGUACCGUGGGUUCGAAUCCCACCCUGUCCGCCA
rnacentral:tRNA from 3 species